GUACCCUCAAGCUCUGCUUGGUGUUGGGUGUUUGUCCCGCAGUUUGCGUGGACUCGCCUUAAAGCAAUUGGCAGCCGGCAUACUAGUCUGGAGCGCAGCACAAUUUGCACUUCCUGCUACGAAUGUCGGCGUCCAUAAGCCUAUAUUUUUGC
rnacentral:misc_RNA from 1 species